UACGAGUGGUCCAAGCGUUAUCCGGAAUCACUGGGCGUAAAGGGUGUGUAGGCGGCAUAGUUAGUCUUUCGUUAAAGCCUUGGGCUUAACCCAAGAAAUGCGAAAGAAACGGCUAAGCUGAGAGGGUGCGAGGGGUUUGCGGAACUCAUGGUGUAGGGGUGAAAUCCGUUGAUAUCAUGGGGAACACCAAAAGCGAAGGCAGCAAACUGGCGCACACCUGACGCUGAGACACGAAAGCGUGGGUAGCGAA
rnacentral:rRNA from 1 species